UGGGGAAUAUUGCACAAUGGGCGCAAGCCUGAUGCAGCCAUGCCGCGUGUAUGAAGAAGGCCUUCGGGUUGUAAAGUACUUUCAGUCGGGAGGAAGGUGGUAAGGUUAAUAACCUUAUCAAUUGACGUUACCGACAGAAGCACCGGCUAACUCCGUGCCAGCAGCCGCGGUAAUACGGAGGGUGCAAGCGUUAAUCGGAAUUACUGGGCGUAAAGCGCACGCAGGCGGUUUGUUAAGUCAGAUGUGAAAUCCUCGGGCUCAACCUGGGAACUGCAUCUGAUACUGGCAAGCUUGAGUCUCGUAGAGGGGGGUAGAAUUCCAGGUGUAGCGGUGAAAUGCGUAGAGAUCUGGAGGAAUACCGGUGGCGAAGGCGGCCCCCUGGACGAAGACUGACGCUCAGGUGCGAAAGCGUGGGGAGCAAACAGG
rnacentral:rRNA from 1 species